rnacentral:lncRNA from 1 species
UUUACAAUGUAAGCCAACCAAAAUGAGCACAAAAAUUAGAUUACAAUAAAUACAUCAUGCACAUAGAAAGAUGGGCCUUACAAAGUUUAGAGAUGUCCUGGGACUCCUAAGAUGUCAUCAAGAUUUUUUCACAUCAAGGUCAUCGCGAUGUGGGUAGUUCAUUAACGAACGCCUACAAAACGAAGCUUCACUAAUGAGAGUUCGCCGGCUCGUUGACAGAUGCAUUGGCGCGGAUUAAGAAUGUGCAGAAGCAAACAAAGGAUUGCGGGACCUAAACCAACAACAGCCGGGACAAAAACUGCAGCGGCAAUGCAGCAGGAACAAUGAAACAAACGGUCUUUUGGCUAUUUCACCCAUCUUAUAUUCUAACUUGUCCUACGCACAUUUUAUAUAGCUCCCUAAAAACUGAGAGAAAAUGAUAUAGCCUAAAUAAGGAAAAUUCAAAAUACUUAAAACCAAUAAACUUGUUACUAGAUAAGUUCCUUCAUAAUGGCUAUAGAUAAUAGUAAUUAACUAUUUUGGAAGUAGC